rnacentral:rRNA from 1 species
UACGUAGGGGGCAAGCGUUAUCCGGAUUUAUUGGGCGUAAAGAGCUCGUAGGCGGCUGAUCGCGUCGGUUGUGAAAGCUCAGGGCUCAACCCUGAGACGCCAAUCGAUACGGAUCGGCUAGAGGUAGGUAGGGGAAAGUGGAAUUCCUGGUGUAGCGGUGAAAUGCGCAGAUAUCAGGAGGAACACCAGUGGCGAAGGCGGUUGCCUGGAGCUUUGCUGACGCUGAUGCGCGAAAGCGUGGGGAGCGAUCCGG